rnacentral:rRNA from 1 species
CUGCGCGGAAGAUGUAACGGGGCUAAAACUAUGUGCCGAAGCUGCGGAUGUAUACUUUGUAUACGUGGUAGGGGAGCGUUCUGUAAGCCGAUGAAGGUGUGUUGAGAAGCAUGCUGGAGGUAUCAGAAGUGCGAAUGCUGACGUGAGUAACGACAAAACGGGUGAAAAACCCGUUCGCCGAAAGACCAAGGGUUCCAGUCCAACGUUAANNNNNNNNNNNNNNNNNNNNNNNNNNNNUCGGGGCUGGGUGAGUCGACCCCUAAGGCGAGGCCGAAAGGCGUAGUCGAUGGGAAAAUGGUUAAUAUUCCAUUACUUCUGUGUAAUGCGAUGAGAGGACGGAGAAGGCUAAAUCAGCCUGGCGUUGGUUGUCCAGGUGAAAGGAUGUAGGCAUGUAUCUUAGGCAAAUCCGGGGUACUCUAUGCUGAGAUCUGAUAGCAAGCUGUACUUGUACAGCGAAGUGGUUGAUGCCAUGCUUCCAGGAAAAGUCUCUAAGCUUCAGUUACACAGGAAUCGUACCCGAAACCGACACAGGUGGUCAGGUCGAGUAGACCAAGGCGCUUGAGAGAACUCUGCUGAAGGAACUAGGCAAAAUGGUACCGUAACUUCGGGAGAAGGUACGCUGUUGUUGGUGAUGGAACUCGCUUCCUGAGCUGACGACAGCCGCAGAAACCAGGCCGCUGCAACUGUUUAUUAAAAACAUAGCACUCUGCAAACACGAAAGUGGACGUAUAGGGUGUGAUGCCUGCCCGGUGCUGGAAGGUUAAUUGAUGGGGUUAGCGUAAGCGAAGCUCUUGAUCGAAGCCCCAGUAAACGGCGGCCGUAACUAUAACGGUCCUAAGGUAGCGAAAUUCCUUGUCGGGUAAGUUCCGACCUGCACGAAUGGCAUAAUGAUGGCGGCGCUGUCUCCAGCAGAGGCUCAGUGAAAUCGAAAUCGCUGUGAAGAUGCAGUGUACCCGCGGCUAGACGGAAAGACCCCGUGAACCUUUACUGCAGCUUGACACUGAACUUUGACCUUACUUGUGUAGGAUAGGUGGGAGGCUUUGAAGCUGGAACGCUAGUUCCAGUGGAGCCGUCCUUGAAAUACCACCCUGGUAAUGUUGAGGUUCUAACUCUGUCCCGUGAUCCGGGACGAGGACCGUGUCUGGUGGGUAGUUUGACUGGGGCGGUCUCCUCCUAAAGAGUAACGGAGGAGUACGAAGGUGCGCUCAGCGUGGUCGGAAAUCACGCGUAGAGUAUAAAGGCAAAAGCGCGCUUAACUGCGAGACCCACAAGUCGAGCAGGUACGAAAGUAGGUCUUAGUGAUCCGGUGGUUCUGUAUGGAAGGGCCAUCGCUCAACGGAUAAAAGGUACUCUGGGGAUAACAGGCUGAUACCGCCCAAGAGUUCAUAUCGACGGCGGUGUUUGGCACCUCGAUGUCGGCUCAUCUCAUCCUGGGGCUGAAGCAGGUCCCAAGGGUAUGGCUGUUCGCCAUUUAAAGAGGUACGCGAGCUGGGUUUAGAACGUCGUGAGACAGUUCGGUCCCUAUCUACCGUGGGCGCUGGAAAUUUGAGAGGAUCUGCUCCUAGUACGAGAGGACCAGAGUGGACGAACCUCUGGUGUACCGGUUGUGACGCCAGUCGCAUCGCCGGGUAGCUAUGUUCGGAAGGGAUAACCGCUGAAAGCAUCUAAGCGGGAAGCCUACCUCAAGAUAAGAUUUCCCUAGGACUUUAUGUCCUCUAAAGAGCCGUUCGAGACUAGGACGUUGAUAGGUUGGAUGUGGAAGCAUAGUGAUAUGUGAAGCUGACCAAUACUAAUUGCUCGUGAGGCUUGACUAUACAACACCCAAGCAGUUG